UGGCACAAUUGGCUAGCGCGUCAGACUGUUAAUCUGGAGGUUGGUGGUUCGAGCCCACC
rfam:Colletotrichum chlorophyti strain NTL11 CCHL11_scaffold108, whole genome shotgun sequence.